rnacentral:rRNA from 1 species
UAGGGAAUCUUCCACAAUGGACGAAAGUCUGAUGGAGCAACGCCGCGUGAGUGAAGAAGGUUUUCGGAUCGUAAAGCUCUGUUGUUGGUGAAGAAGGAUAGAGGCAGUAACUGGUCUUUAUUUGACGGUAAUCAACAGAAAGUCACGGCUAACUACGUGCCAC